CGUCUUUGUUGCCCCCUUUGCCCCCUUCCCCCACAGUAAACCCCACAUGGAACUGUAUUGGCCUGGUGUGGUCUACCAGGAUGUGAGCCUCAAAUCUAGCACAAUAGUAAUAGCUUUGGGUUAUUUUUUUUUUCUGCCCACAGCCAGGGGUUAUAGAGGUGAAUGACUCCAAAGUCCAUCCGCAACAAGCUGACAGUCCAUGGGACUCUACGCCAACUGUGAUGGCAGAAGACAAGACAGGGGAAGGUCACACAAUAGGUGUGGCAGAUCAUCACACGGAUGGACUUGCCUGGAGCAAUGGAGCCCUCUCAGUACCCGCCUGCAUGGGAUUGUUUGCAGCUGCCUGCAGAGACCCAAGACUGCUGGAGACACCCUGGAAAAGGCAUCUUAGUGUCCUGAAGCCCCUCCCAGGAAAGAGAAGAACACCCGGAAGGGGGGAGCUUGACAUCACUUAAUAAAGCCCUGUGAGUAACUCCUCUACUACCAUAGAUAACAUUGCUAAUGCCUGUUGCUCAGCGAGAGAAAAUGUCCCAGGCUACACUUUACGACAAGCAGAAAGCGUUCAAGCUGUCCUGCCAGUGCUUUAUACUAAGAGCCAAAUCCUUAUUCCUUACUUAGGCAUUUAUUGUAAUAACAUGAGUCAUGAGGCUUCACUCUGGUAUUCGUG